UACGAAGGGUGCAAGCGUUAAUCGGAAUUACUGGGCGUAAAGCGUGCGUAGGUGGUUGUUCAAGUCUGUCGUGAAAGCCCUGGGCUCAACCUGGGAAUGGCGAUGGAAACUGGGCGACUGGAGUGCGGUAGAGGAUGGCGGAAUUCCCGGUGUAGCGGUGAAAUGCGUAGAGAUCGGGAGGAACAUCCGUGGCGAAGGCGGCCAUCUGGACCAGCACUGACACUGAGGCACGAAAGCGUGGGGAGCAAACAGGAUUAUAUACCCUGUUAG
rnacentral:rRNA from 1 species